rnacentral:rRNA from 1 species
GGGUUGUGAGGUUAAGCGACUAAGCGUACACGGUGGAUGCCCUGGCAGUCAGAGGCGAUGAAGGACGUGCUAAUCUGCGAUAAGCGUCGGUAAGGUGAUAUGAACCGUUAUAACCGGCGAUUUCCGAAUGGGGAAACCCAGUGUGUUUCGACACACUAUCAUUAACUGAAUCCAUAGGUUAAUGAGGCGAACCGGGGGAACUGAAACAUCUAAGUACCCCGAGGAAAAGAAAUCAACCGAGAUUCCCCCAGUAGCGGCGAGCGAACGGGGAGCAGCCCAGAGCCUGAAUCAGUGUGUGUGUUAGUGGAAGCGUCUGGAAAGGCGCGCGAUACAGGGUGACAGCCCCGUACACAAAAAUGCACAUAUUGUGAGCUCGAUGAGUAGGGCGGGACACGUGGUAUCCUGUCUGAAUAUGGGGGGACCAUCCUCCAAGGCUAAAUACUCCUGACUGACCGAUAGUGAACCAGUACCGUGAGGGAAAGGCGAAAAGAACCCCGGCGAGGGGAGUGAAAAAGAACCUGAAACCGUGUACGUACAAGCAGUGGGAGCCUCUUUUAUGGGGUGACUGCGUACCUUUUGUAUAAUGGGUCAGCGACUUAUAUUCUGUAGCAAGGUUAACCGAAUAGGGGAGCCGAAGGGAAACCGAGUCUUAACUGGGCGUUAAGUUGCAGGGUAUAGACCCGAAACCCGGUGAUCUAGCCAUGGGCAGGUUGAAGGUUGGGUAACACUAACUGGAGGACCGAACCGACUAAUGUUGAAAAAUUAGCGGAUGACUUGUGGCUGGGGGUGAAAGGCCAAUCAAACCGGGAGAUAGCUGGUUCUCCCCGAAAGCUAUUUAGGUAGCGCCUCGUGAAUUCAUCUCCGGGGGUAGAGCACUGUUUCGGCAAGGGGGUCAUCCCGACUUACCAACCCGAUGCAAACUGCGAAUACCGGAGAAUGUUAUCACGGGAGACACACGGCGGGUGCUAACGUCCGUCGUGAAGAGGGAAACAACCCAGACCGCCAGCUAAGGUCCCAAAGUCAUGGUUAAGUGGGAAACGAUGUGGGAAGGCCCAGACAGCCAGGAUGUUGGCUUAGAAGCAGCCAUCAUUUAAAGAAAGCGUAAUAGCUCACUGGUCGAGUCGGCCUGCGCGGAAGAUGUAACGGGGCUAAACCAUGCACCGAAGCUGCGGCAGCGACACU